GGCAGCACACGAGACCUUGCCCUCUGGGGGCGAGUGGGGGACGGGAGAGGAAUACAUCGGAAUCUACUUUUUCUUGGGGGAUAACGCAGGGAAACUUACGCUAUUACCGCAUACCACCUACGGGUGAAAGCAGGGGAUCUUCGGGCCUUGCGCGAUUGAAUGAGCCGAUGUCGGAUUAGCUAUUUGGCGGGGUAAAGGGGCACCAAGGCGACAAUCCGAAGAUGGGCUGAGAGGAUGAUCAGCCACACUGGAACUGUGACACUGACCCCACUCCUACAGGAGGCAGCAAGGGGGAAUAUUGGACAAUGGGCGCAAGCCUGAUCCCCCCAUACCGCGUGGGUGAAGAAGGGCUUCAGGUUGUAAAACCCUUUUGUUGUGAAAGAAAUCCAGAUGGGUAAUACCCGGUUGGGAUGACACCACCCCAAGAAUAAACACCGGCUAACUUCGUGCCUACAGCCCCGGUAAUACGAAAGGGGCAAGGGUUACUCGGAAUUACUGAGCGUAUAGCGUGCGUAGGUGGGCGUGUAAAUCCGUUGUGAAAACCCUGGGCUCAACCUGUGAACUGCGGAGGGUACUGGGCGACUAGAAUGUGUGAGAGGGUAACAGAAUUCCUGGUGUACCAGUGAAAUGCGUAGAGAUCUAGAGGAACAUCCAUGGCGAAGGCGCCUACCUGGACCAACAUUGUCACUCUGACGCGAAAGCGUGAGGGAGCGAACAAGAUAAUAUACCCUGAUAGUCCACGCCCCUAAACAAUGCGAACUGGAUGUUGGGGGGGUUAUGUGGGUCUCACUAUCUAAGCUAACGCGCUAAAGCUCUCCGCCCUGUGGGG
rnacentral:rRNA from 1 species